AGAUUGAACGCUGGCGGCAGGCCUAACACAUGCAAGUCGAGCGGUAGAGGUGCUUGCAUCUCUUGAGAGCGGCGGACGGGUGAGUAAUGCCUAGGAAUCUGCCUAGUGGUGGGGGAUAACGUUCGGAAACGGACGCUAAUACCGCAUACGUCCUACGGGAGAAAGCGGGGGACCUUCGGGCCUCGCGCCAUUAGAUGAGCCUAGGUCGGAUUAGCUAGUUGGUGAGGUAAUGGCUCACCAAGGCGACGAUCCGUAACUGGUCUGAGAGGAUGAUCAGUCACACUGGAACUGAGACACGGUCCAGACCUCCGUACGGGAGCAGCAGUGGGGAAUA
rnacentral:rRNA from 1 species